GCGAUGUUAAGGAUUUCAAAUUAAACUGUAACAGUACUCUUUGAAUUCUAUCCUUUACUCUUUUUGGCGCACUUCAUUAUCGCACCAGAAUGAAACCUCGUAUGUCAUUUAUUUAACGAUGUCAUUAUGACAUGUUGGUAGUGAAUAGCUUGGACUGCAAUAAGGAACUACUAAUUACUGUAGUACUAGCCGAGUGUGUUAUGGGGGUGGGGCAUUGGCCGAGCCCUCUCAGCACCAAUGAAUAAAGGAUUAAUUCUAUGGUUUAAAAUAGUGGAAAAACUUCUUGUCAAUGCACAUCCUAACAUACAGCCCUGUCUUCACAUUUUGCGACAGUUGAUAUUCAGUGUGUGAAGAAACCAAAAUAAUUAUUUAUAACAAGAUAUUUUGGUUGAGCCAAUGUAAAGGACCCAAUUUCAGGCAGGAUCGGCAAGAUGCUUCUCACCAUUCCCUAUCGCAUCACUGUCACCGACUCCAAAUUUGUCGAACGAAUGUCACAGAUUCUGAUUCUGAACACCAUCGACGAAUCUUCUACGGCAUCGAACAAGGAUGACUAUGAUAAUCACCUAGAAUAUUCUGCAUACUCAACAACAGCCAACGUUGUUUUUCCUUUUUAGAACGAACUUGAUAUGGCGCGUACAAAUUGGAUAAUGGAGAAUACAGCUAUUGAAUUAUUGUUUCAGUAGGUAUUAUUCUUUGGGAUCUCUUGUAUCCAAAAGAAGAAUUAGGGAUUAUUUCCUGAUAUUCGAUAUUG